rfam:Gossypium hirsutum cultivar TM-1 unplaced genomic scaffold scaffold769.1, whole genome shotgun sequence
UAUUAAAAAAUUCAUUCAUUUGCACUGAUAAAAACUAGCUAGAUAAUGACACAUGGCGUGUCAUGUGUACCUCAUGCUGGUGUAUAUGGACCAGUUUUUAACCGUAGAAAUGCAUGAAAUUCUUAACA